rnacentral:rRNA from 1 species
UCCGGAAUCAUUGGGCGUAAAGAGCGUGUAGGCGGCCAUCUAAGUCCUGCGUGAAAUCUUGCGGCUCAACCGCAAGCGGUCGUGGGAAACUGGGUGGCUAGAGUGCGGGAGAGGAGAGUGGAAUUCCUGGUGUAGCGGUGGAAUGCGCAGAUAUCAGGAAGAACACCCGUGGCGAAGGCGGCUCUCUGGAACGCAACUGACGCUGAGACGCGAAAGCGUGGGGAGCAAACAGG